rnacentral:lncRNA from 1 species
CCCAUAUUAUUAUUCAAAGAUACUAAUACAUUUAGGAACAUAAGCAUGACAUGAUCAUUUGAGAUUAUUACAUACAUAAUUGAAUCAUCCACCCCAUUGAGCCCUUAAUUGCCAGUUCAGCAAGUUGUCCUGGCUAUGAUAGAAACCUUCUUCUUCUAUUACCCAAUGGACUGCAAAAUGGCCUAUGUCACCGUCAUCAUAUGCAUUGAAAUAGCGAGAAGUAUGGUUCUAUACUGAGAAACAAUGUUCAACCUUGUCUCUGGGAACAGUUGCGCUGAAGAUCAAAUCUUCCACCAGAAUCACAAGAAAAGUGCACCAGACCUGUGGUUGGAACAACGGUUUGGAGUCCGAUUUUAACUUGACCAGGGGCAGCAUUAAUAGUAUAAUUUAAAGUAGAUGCAAAAGCAAGGAAGAGGACAAUGUAAUAUAUGGUUGUCAUUUUUGUAGUUUCAAGGUAAAGACACAAAUAAGAUUUUUUCCCGAUGGCAAUUAGGAGCUAACAGCCCAGCAGGAAACUGACAAAAACUACAGACCCUACAAUAAGUAGUUC